ensembl:misc_RNA
GCAUGGUGUGAUUAACCUACUAACCCAGGGCUCGGCCGGGACGCUGUGGCGUGUGACGAGGUGCCUGGCCUUCCGCCAACCAACUAACCCACUAACCCGGCCCGAGCAUGCCCUACUAACCCCCUGCAGCCAGACCCUACUAACC